CCGCUUAUUUCCAUCAAAGACUCUGUUUCAUGGUACCCCACCUUCCAGAUUAUUAUCAGACAGAUACAAAUUGGUGAGGUGUUGCAAGCCACCCAGCACUCCUGGGAUGAAUCCCGAGAAAUUGUUUUGCUGAAGGUUUAGGUGUUGUAACAGCCCAAGAUUACCAAAAGAACUUGGAACUUGACCAACAAAAUUGUUGAAUGACAAGUCUAACCACUCUAGCCCAGAAAUAUUGCCUAGUGAUGCUGGGAGAUGACCUUCAAAAUUGUUAUCCUCCAAUGUGAGAUACCGAAGAUUCAGGAGGGUAUCACCAAGUUAAAUGGCAGCGUUUUCCCAAGCAUAUUGGAACUUAAGUCUAAAAUUUGGAGAGAACACUGAUUGUAUUUGUACAGGGUUUUCGGGAUUCCACCUGAUAGCCUAUUUUCAUAAAGGAGUAAAUGAGAAAGAUUUGGGAGUUUUCCCAACUCAUCAGGAAUGGUUCUGGUGAGCUUAUUAUCGUCAAGCGAGAUGUGUUCAAGCUGACUGCUGUUUUUUAGGCUUGGUGGGAUUUCUCCGGUCAGAUUAUUGAAGGAAAGAUCUAACCACACUAGAUUAGACAGGAGAUCUAUACCGCUGCGAACUUCUCCUAUUAGUAAGUUGCCAGACAGGGAUAGGUACCGUAGAUUGGAGCAGUUUGUAAGAGUAUCCGGAUUGAUCCCUUGCAGUGAGUUGUACCGCAAGUCAAGGAACUUCAAUCUUUGGAGACGGUUGAAAGGAGGUAUCACACCGGUGAAGCCAUUAUGGGACAGUUCCAGUCUCAAAAGGAACGUUAGAUUCCCGAGGGACGGUGAAAUCAUGCCCGACAACGCUAGGUCCUCAAGAUUCAGCCCGGUGACUCGCCCUGGGUGCUUCGGGUCACUACAGUCGACGCCCUCCCAACUGCAAUAGGGGAUGCCGGUGUGCCAUGUUCUCAAGGCUUGCCUGGAGUCGUUGGUGAUGGCCCGCUUGAAAUCUGGCAGCAAGAUCAUGUCCGUGCUGUUGUCAUGGACUGUUGUCGUUGAGGAGGAGCAAUGGAUGCUGCCGACUCCACAAGAAACGAGCAGCAACGACAGUAGCGUUAGGAUGUGGACGAGCCUCACCGGUUGAGUGGUACAUUUCACCGUUUCGUGUUGACAUGCCAUUAUGCUUUCAUUAUGUAGGUGUGUCCAAAUUGGUGUUAUGGAAAAGACGAGUCUUGGGCGGCAUUGGUGGAUGUUUGGUGUGAUACGGAUGGAGCCUGGGCGGCUACGAGCAUAAAAAACAAGGCUAACCGAGGUAGGGAGGGAGUACAUACUCAAGGAAAUCGAAACCACUUUCUCCACAAGGCACUUAAUGUAUGACUAACCUCAUUAAACAUUCUUCUUCUUCUAUUUACCGUCACUUUCUUAUGUAUGACUAACCUCUGUUUGGUGGUGCAGGAGGAGAAACUGGAGCGGCCGCUCUCACACAUGGAGGCGUGGGAGAUCGCCCAUACGCGGAAGGACUCCAAGCCUGGCGAGCCCAAGUACUACGGCAAGAAGACCGCGCAGAGGAAGAAGGCCUACUCCGAUGGGUAUCUGAUGUUACAUCCUGACACACCUGACCCCAUUGCGGCGGAUCUGGACGAGAGGGUAGUGGUGGGCAUGGGUCCCAAGGAGCACGGCCGGGAGGCGGUUCUCAUUGCUGUGAUCACUCCUACUAUCUCCUACACACAGCUUCGUCGGAUUGACCCGAGUCUGAGCCAGCGCACGAGCACGCCCAUGACCAGUGCACAGUCACAAUCCCUCUUUCAGGAGCGGCAAUCUGUAAGUAUUUUCCCUCUUAUCUUCAUUGCUCACUUUAUUUUCCGCAUUUAGUAGUUUUAUGAGUUCCAUCAUGUCAUACCAUAGGCCUACAUGGAGUACACACGCUAGGAGACCAUGGCAUGGCACGAGAGCCUUCAUGCAUACCAUCAGGAGAGGGAUCGCAGGAUGCAGCACGCUCUUGAGGAAAUGGCGGCCGGCAGGUUUCCUCAAUUGCAACCAGUAGUAUCUCCUCCAGCACAACCAAGGCUGCUUACCUUUGAGGAGUUUCUGGCACAGAACGCCAACCCCUCACCGGUUAGUUCAUCCCCAAUCUAUUCGCCCAAAUCAUAUCAUGCCUUUCAACACAGUCAUAUAUCCCGUUAACAUGUCUUUUCAACAUUCAGGGAACCGAUGGAUCAACCGUUGGUGGUGGUCUUCGCAGCACUCCGGAGUCACGAAGCCCGACCACUCCGAUCCAGGGAGGCGGAGGCGGAGGUGGAGGCGGUCUUGGCGGUAGCGCUGCCGCUAGCAGUGAUUACUUGGGCUUCGGCGGGCUUGGCGGUGACGACCUCCGCGGUGCUCGGCGUCCUGGCGCUUAAGCCUUUCGGUUACUUGUGUGCUUAUGCUUAUGUUUCUUUAGAUGACUUGUGUGCGGUGAUGAAGAUGAUAAACUUGUGGUCUUUGAUGGUCCUUUAGAUGACUUGUGUGCUUCUUUAUAUGCUUAUGCUUAUGUUGAUUGUGAUGAUGCUUAUGCAUAUAUUGUUGUGACGGUGCCGGAUGAUAUAGAUGUGUUCUAUAUGUCUAUGUCCAUCAUAUAUAUCUACCUGUAUAUUUGAAUUGAAUUGAUCUGAAAACAAACAGAAAAAAGAAAAAAUCAAAUACAAACUAUGCCGACGACUAUGUCGUCAGCAUAGUGCUGACGUGAGCGCCUAGUUGCUGACACGUGGCAGAUAUGCCGACGGCCUAGCCGUUGGCAUAGUUUGAAACUAAGCCGACAGCUAGGCCGUCGGCGUAGCUGCCACGUGUCAGCAACUGGGCAAAACUAGGGCAGGGCUAUGCCGACGGCAUAGCCCUGCCCUAGUAGAUGCCAUGUGGCGAGCGGUCGUUGGUUAGCACUUGACGGCGGCCGCCGUUAGGCGAAAACGUUGCCGACGGCCCGGGCCGUCGGCAUAGAUGUACGAACUCCGUCGGGAUAGGUCCUAUGCCGACGGCCUUUCUAUGCCGACGGCCCCUCGGGCUACGCUGACGGAUAUGUUGCCGACGGCCCUAUUGCCGACGGGGGCCGCCGGCAUAGACCUGUCCCGACGGGAAUCAUGGCCAGGGCCGUCGGCAUAGGGUGCGAUUCUGGUAGUGAAAUUACGGAGCAACUUUUUUGUAUGCAUUGUGCAUCAUUUUUCCAAGAAAAUGAAGGUGCGAGUGCUGAAGAACUGACAAUUCUAUUCCUGUUCACUCUUAAGGAAUAAUGGAAAUUUGUGAAUUUUCUUUUAACUUUUUCGACAUGACAUAGGAUGGUGUCCAAACUAGUCCACUCCUUUAUCUCCAAAGGAGAAUAGAGAAGUAUCUGGUCCAAGCUAAUGACCGAAUCUUGGGUAGAAAUUCCAACCUCAGCCUGUCAUUGUUGUCUGUCUCAAUCAACAAAAUCUAGCUGCAACUUGACUACAGGAAAAGUUUGCCCUGAUGACAAGACCAUACUCCUAUAUAUUGCAGCAUAAGAGAGAAGCUGCUCUAUCUCUUUUCCAUCUGCCAUUUCCGACCAACAUGAUUAAGCUUGCGCUCCUCAUCCGAGGAACUGCGUUGCUCCUUUGCCUAUUGAUCUGCCGAGCAGCAUCCACUUCCCAUGGUCCAGCGAGUGCAUCAAGAGCCUGCAUUGGCGACGAGCGAGAUGCGCUUCUGUCCUUCAAGGCAAGCCUCCUGGACCCUGCUGGUCGUCUGUCAUCAUGGCAGGGCGACGACUAUUGUCGAUGGAAGGGAGUCCAGUGCAGCAACAGAACUGGCCAUAUCAUCAAGAUCAGCCUCGGCAGCAUCGACAAGUAUGGCCACACGAGCAGAUGGUUGAGCUUGUCAGCAGGAGAGAUGAGCUCUUCUUUGGCUACUUUACAACACCUGAGGUAUCUUGAUCUGAGCAGGAAUUACUUCAACGGCACAAGCAUCCCUGUGUUCUUGGCUUCUCUCAAGAACCUAAGGUAUCUCGACCUCUCGUAUGUUGGAUUCACAGGAACAAUACCUUCCCAACUUGGCAAUCUCUCAAAGCUGCAAUAUCUAGAUGUCAGUUGGAAUUCUUUUGAUUCGGAUAGUUACCCAGUGAAUCUUGCAUGGUUGCCACGUCUCUCUUCUUUGAGCCAUCUCGACAUGAGCGGUGUUGAUCUUAGUUUUUCCAAGGAUUGGCAGAUGGUGAACAUGCUUCCUUCUCUUAAAGUGCUUUGCCUGAGCUCCUGUGAACUCAAUCUUCCCGUAUCUGCUAGCAUGUCACAUUCCAACCUCACACAUGUCGAGAUACUUGAUUUGUCUUAUAACAAACUCUAUACUAAUUCACUCAAGCACGCAUGGUUUUGGAAUCUCACAAGCCUUGAGGAGCUUUCUUCACUUGGAAGGGGCCAUUCCUAGUAACUUGGCAAGCAUGACGUCCCUUCAAGUCAUAGACUUCAGUGGGAACAAACUUGUGGGUCUGAUACCAAACAAAUUAGAUAAUCUGUGCAAUUUGACAAUAAUGAGGUUUAGCGAUAUCAACACUGGUUUGAGCAUAGGGGAGUUCAUGGAGCGAUUGCCAAAGUGUGCAUGGAAUACAUUGCAAGAAUUGUCAGCGCAGGGUGCAAAUAUGACCGGGAUCUACCCAUUUGGAUUGGGAACUUGACCGGUCUCGCCGUUCUUCAAGCAUCUCAAAACAUGUUAACUGACCCUCUACCUAUAGGAGUUGGAGCACUCGGUAAUUUAAAAAUGUUGGACAUCAGCUAUAAUAAAUUCAGCAGUGUGCUCAUGGAGGAGCAUUUCGCGGGCCUACUGAAUUUAGAGUAUCUGGACUUGUGACUAAUGACUGGGGUAGUGUAAUCUUUAUGGAUGAACAUGUGACCAAGACAAGGGAUGUACUUUUCUCUGCUUUGACUGUCCAAGUCGUUAUAAGCUUUUUUCCGAAUAACUACAGAAUUAGAAGAGUCAGCAUGACAAGACCUAGACAUGGACUAAGCUUUUCUUGUAGAUCAUACAAUAGGAGUGGUCGGUAACUGGCCAGUGGCUAGCAUGACAUAUCCUGAUGAUUAUUUCUGAAACUAUCUGAUGCGGAGCAUCCUAUGGUCAUCACCAUGUCAAGAGUCCAUUUGGCAAGUGACACGUGCCACAUCUACUUCACAUACAUAAAGGUGAAUCUUCUCCUUUACACGUGUUCACUUGACCCCUUUAAGGAUGGUAUACUACUUGACAUUCCUUCCGUGUGCAUGCAAGGUAUUGUCGGAGCUUCACACAUAGCGAGGAUGAGUUCAUGCGGAAGAGAACAUCUACACCAUCCAAGAGGGAAGCCUGGAAGCGGAGAAGGAAGCGCCAAGAAGAAGGCAGUAGCUCCCAGGCGACCCCGUGCACACGGGCCCCUCCGACCCCGUGCCCACGGGCUGUCACAUCCCUGGUCCUGGUAUGCAGUAGGCUAGCCCUUCAUGUGUGCAUCAUGUUUAACUUUUCAAAUGAAUUGAAAUGGGGAUGUUCUAACCCUAGCACCAAAUGGAAUUCAAAUAGGUUCAACCUAAAAAUAAUUUUAGUGAAUCCAAAUGGCUUUCAAAAAUGUUCAUCAUUUCUGGAAAAUGCUAAGAACCAUAACCAGAGGUGUUGCACAUCUUUCCAUGACAUAUCUGGUCACUGAAUUAAAUCAUAUGUACUUUGCAUUUGGGCAUUUAAAUGCUAGUAAAUAUGUUAGAUGCUCAAAUAAUUAUGAACUUAAGUGUGGGCUAUUAGGAAUAAUCCCAACAGAGCCCACAAUUAUUUGCAGGAUUUUUGGGAACGUUUUAGUAUUUUUAAUAAAGCCAUCAAAUUGCAGAAGAAAUAGAAAAGAGAAAUAAAAAUAGGAAAGAACAGAAGGCCACCAGGCCACCUACCUAACCUACCUGGCGGCCCAGCUGCGGCCCAGCACUGUUGGCCCAGCCCAGCAGUCGCCCCCACCGUCUUCAACCUCCUGCUAGUAGGUAGGAGGGCGUGUGCCCGACGCGCGCCAGCACGCACGCGCCACCUCCUGCUUGCCGCUUCACCCCCGCUUCUUCGGGUGGCGCCACGCACGCCCCCUGGAACCCCCUCGCGCUCUCCCUCGCUCCUUCCCCCCCUCCUCUGUUUCUGUUACGCACGGCCGCCGAGCGCAGCCGUCGCCCCGACGAGCACCACCACGGCCACCGUCCAUCCCGUGCCUCUCCGAUGAGUCCAGAGGAACCUCCAUCGCCUUCUGCGUCUUCUACACCAACCCAUUUGACCGCGGGAGCCCUGUAGCGUCUUCCUGGAGCUCGUUCCCGACCUCCGGCCGCCGGCGAACUUUCGGGGAUUCGCGAGCUCCAGCCCCUCCCCGGCUUCGCCGUUGCCUCUACCGGAUCCGCUGUGAGCUCCUCUUCCUCUCCCCCUUCUCCCCUGGUCGCGCCCGCCCUCUAGGCCAUAGCUCCGUCACGGCCGAACUCCGGCCGCCGCUGACCUUGUCGCCGCUGCCGCUACGGACGCUGCAGCUUGCGCCCGAGUGCAUCAUCGUUCUCACCUCGCUCCUAGGAGCCGAACGCACCUAGUAGCUCGUCCGUAGCCGCACCGUAGCCCUGCGCUCGUGCACCACCGAGCUCCGGCCACCGCGGCCGAGCUCCUCGCCGUCGCUACCGGCCACCCCAGCCGCUAACUUCAGUCCCGUUGGAUGCGGAAGAGCGCCAGCCACGCGUAGAGCCUCUCCGCCGCUCGUUUGGCCUCCGGAGACGCAAACCCGAGCCGUUCCGCCGUGUCUGACCUCGCCGGCGUCGAGUCGCCGGCGGGUUUGACUCGUUUGACCGCGGUUGACCACUGGUUUGACCUUCCCUGACAUAUGGGCCCAAGCCCCUAAUUAGUUAACUCGAGAUUAAUUAGAGCUAACUAAUUUAGUUAACUAAACUAGACACUGACAUGUGGGCCCCGCCCUGCUAACAGCCUGGUUAGGGUUAGUUUAGCACUAACUAACUCAGUUAGUCGACCGAGUCACUGACCAGUGGUUCCCCAGGUCAGGUUUGACCUGGACGGCGCCUUUGACCUGAUGACGUCACCCCGACGUCAUGCUGACGCAUUAAUUCAAUUACUGGAAUUAUUUUUAUACAGGAAAUUCCAGAAAAUAACCAAAACUUCUAAAAUUCACAGAAAUUCAACCGUAGCUCAGAAUGAAAUAAUUUAUAUAUGAAAAAUGAUCAGAAAAAUCCAAUCUAUCCAUCUGUACCAUUUUCAUGCAUGUUAGAACAACUUAUAGCUGCUGUUUAGCACAAAUCAUUUAAAUGACAUUUAAACCUUCACAUAUGGAGUUUGAACUUGAAUCUUUGAUUCAAACCAGCUUCAUUUAAUCUGGUUGCUAGUUGCAUUAGCUCAAACCAUAGCAUAUUGCCAUGUCAUGAUCAUGCAUCAUAUUGUGCAUUUGCAUUGAUUGUGUUUCUUUCUCAGUUGCCGGUAAUUGCCCCCUCUCGAUAGACGCGAUCCGACGAUGAGUUCGAUGACACCGAUGAAGAACUAUAUUAUCUUCAGAAGUGCCAGGCAAGCAAAACCCCCUUGUUCAUUCCGAUACAAUCCCACUCUCUCGCCCUGCUCUCUUUUACUGCAUUAGGACAACAACGAUUCAUCUGUUACUUGCUGCGGUAGUUGAACCCCUUAUCCUCUGCAUGACCUGUCAUUGCCACAGUAAAUAGAUGAAACCCACUAGCAUGAGUAGGAGUUGUUUGAGCCCUGAUGUGCCUACUCAUUCAUGCUUGUUUGUCAUGCCUGCUACUGCUUAGAGUUGAGUCGGGUCUGAUUCAUCGAGGAUGAAUCAGAGGUGUGUGAACAUGUCCUACUGCGUGUGAGCUAAGUGUGUGAACACGAUUUGGUAAAGGUAUCGGUGAGAGGCCAUGUAGGAGUACAUGGUGGGUUGUCUCAUUGAAGCCGUCCUUAGGAACUGAGUUCUGUGUUUGUGAUCCAUGAUUCAGCUACUACCAUGCAUUGGGCCCUGAAAUAUGACCCCGCUCGACUUCUUAUUCACCCUUGUCCUCUGUCCAGGAGUUGCAAGUAGUUUCUGGUGUUUGUAGUAUGCUGGAGGCCGUGCGCAGUGCUGACCGUAGGGGUGGGCUGUGAUGCGGUAGGCACGUAACCGGGUAAACCGGGCGCCCGUUUGGUGUCACGGAACCCUGUUCACAUCGUUUGGGGCUGUGAGCGAAACUUCGGCCGGAUCUCCUCAUGGAUGGAACCCAAAUAGGCGAUAAACCUGGACUAGAGACUUGAGUGUCUAGGUAGGUCGUGGUCUACACCCACGUCGGCUUUCGCUUGAAGUCUGCCGAGCACAUGUCGUGUGCAAACGCUAAGUGGUGGAAAUAUGUAUGAAGAAGUACACCCCUGCAGGGUUAAUAUCAUCUAUUCGAAUAGCCGUGUCCGCGGUAAAGGACUUCUGGGUUGCCUAUAACAGUUCAUAGACAAGCGAAAGUGGAUACUUUAAAAUACGCAAGAUAAGCAUGAGUGCUAUGGAUGGCGUUCCCGUAGGGAGACGGGAGCGGAUCCAUAGUGGUGUAUUGAUAUGGUGAAUAUGUGGACUCGUGUGCGCCAUCUCAAAGGAGUUACUUGCAGUCAUAGUUAGGAUAGCCACCGAGUCAAAGCUGGCUUACUGCAGUUAAACCCCACCAUCCCUUUGUUGAUAAUGAUGCAUAUGUAGUUAGUUCUGAUGUAAGUCUUGCUGGGUACAUUUGUACUCACGUUUGCCUAUUUUAUGUUUUUGCAGAGAGACUUCAGUCUCGCUAGUAGUUCCACGUGGACUUCGACGUUUAGCUUGUUACCUCAGCUACGAUCUUGUGCCCUCGGCAGGAUCUAGUAGAUAGUCAGGCUUCUAGGCCUUUUUCAUUUGUAGAUGUCUGUACUCAGACAUGAUAAGCUUCCGCAUGUGCUUGAUCUGUAUGCUCUGAAUGUUGGGUCAUGAGACCUAUGUUUGUAAUAUCUCGCUCCUCAGAGCCUAAUGAAUAAAUACUUGAGUCGUAGAGUCAUGUUGUGAUGCCAUGUUGUAUUUGCACAUAUCGAGCAUAUUGUGUGUAUGUUAUUGAAAUGCUUGGUAUGUGUGGGAUCUGACUAUCUAGUUGUUUAUCUUUAGUAGCCUCUCUUACCGGGAAAUGUCUCCUAGUGUUUCCACCGAGCCAUGGUAGCUUGCUACUGCUCCGGAACACUUAGGCUGGCCGGCAUGUGUCCUCCUUCGUUCCUGUGUCUGUCCCUUCGGGGAAAUGUCACGCGUUGAGUACCGGAGUCCUGUUAGCCCGCUACAGCCCGGUUUACCGGAGUCCUGCUAGCCCAGUGCUACAGCCCGGAACUUACUCGCUGAUGACCGACACGUUCGAUGCUGGGUCAUGGAUGCCUGUCCCUGUAAGUCUGUGCCACUUUGGGUUUACGACUAGUCAUGUCAGCCCGGGCUCCUUUUCAUAUGGAUGCUAGCGACACUAUCAUAUACGUGUGCCAAAAGGCGCAAACGGUCCCGGGCAAAGGUAAGGCGACACCCGUGGGGAUACCGUGCGUGAGGCCGCAAAGUGAUAUGAGGUGUUACAGGCUAGAUCGAUGUGACAUUGAGUCGGGGUCCUGACACGGGCCCCCCAGGCUGGCGGUCCUGAAGACCCCGUGCGCACGGGCGUGUACCGUGCCCACGGGACCCCCGUGUCCACGGGCCUCACAGACCCCGUGCGCACGGGCUCAUGCGUCAGGUCCCUGGAGACCCCGUGCGCACGGGGCCCCAUGUGCGUGGCUGUUGGGCUUGGCCCUUGUAUCCCCAUCUCGUCCCUCCUUACCCCUUCAUCCCUUGGACCUAUAUAUACUCCCCUUCCUCCUCCAUUUACACUUAGCUAAGAAUAGAUAAAAAUCAUAGAGCUUAGCUCAUGUAUCUCUCCUUGUGGGAUUCCUCUUGAGAGAGAAGACUCCAUUGGAGUACAAGACCCCCAUUGGAGAAGAUCCUUAGGGAUUCAAGACCCCCUUGAGGGAAGGAUCUAUCUAGAUCAUGAAGCCCUCAUCUCCUUCAUAGGAUUUGGGAUGAACUCUACCAUGUAUCUUGUUUCCCUUUGAUUGUUCAUGUACCUUGUGGAUCUUGUGUGUUUGUUGGUCUAGUGGAUGUGUGAUUGGACUUGUUCUUGAGUGUUCCUCUUGUUUUCUCUCUUGUGUUCAUCUUGUUCUUGGGUAUUCCCCCUUCAAUUCGUGAAAGAUCUCCACUUAGGGUUCCACCCUACAACACUAUCCUUUUGAUUUGUUUGCAGAUUGCUGAGCACUGAGAGCCACGAUCUCACCGAAUCAUUUAUUGCAAAAGAGAAGGUUGGGAAGGUCCAAACCCUGAGAAUUACACACGGACAAAAAACAAAACAAAACAAGAGUGACAGGUUUGCUCUUGACGUCUUGGUGAGCAUAAAAUAGAUCAACAGUAUGGUGUGGCAUGAAACUAGAAUGAAUACUCUAUAUGAUCAGGUAGUACAUAAUGCGUAUCUUUUGUCCAAUACAUAGUAGGACAUGGGACCAGAUCCAGUUUUCCUUCAAAGGAGUUCCCACUGUUUGCUUCCAAUACCAAUAAAGGCUCUUACCCCGCUUAUUUCCAACACAAAGACACUGUUUCAUGGUACCCCACCUUCCAGAUUAUUAUCAGACAGAUACAGAUUGGUGAGGUGUUGCAAGCCACCCAGCUCUCCUGGGAUGAAGCCCGACAAAUUGUUUUGCUGAAGGUUUAGGUGUUGUAACGGCCCAAGAUUACCAAAAGAACUUGGAACUUGACCAACAAAAUUGUUGAAUGACA
rnacentral:lncRNA from 1 species